rnacentral:lncRNA from 1 species
AUCCUCUCUAAAAUCCUACUGACAAUAUAAGAAGAUUCAUAAAAUGUCCACAGAAAUCAGAGCAGGUGUCAUUCGGACUAAGCUGGCUCUAUUUCUCACUAUGAUUAACCAGCUCGUAAUGACAACAUUUCUUAUCUUACAACUGUGGCAUGAAGAGGGAGCUGUAGCUCUUCUGAGACACAAUUCUGCACACCCCAGCUUAUCCACGCUCUGCGAUCUCGUGUCUGUUUCUCUCUCUCUCUCUCUCUCUCUCUCUCUCUCUCUCUCUCUCUCUCUCUCUCUCUCUCUCUCUCUCUCUCUCUCAUCAUUUUAACCAUUGUACCAGCUCCAUUUAAAUGUAUCUGCGGAGGAUCUGGUCAAGUGGAGAUAAUCCAUGCAAAUCAGAAACUGGUUGUCAGUGUGUGGUUCCCGGAGAGGACUCAGCCUGAGGAGGUCACUCGUUCACAGCCGCUCCUCCCAUUCUAUCUCUCCCCUUAUUGCAGAACUGCUGUAUGUAUACAGUAGCAGAAAGGACUCAAUUGACUUCAACUGCUGCCUGGCUUUGCUUACAACUUUUUCUUAUAAAGGAACUUACCUCCAUCUGUCUCUUGAAGGUGGCUGGCUACUUCCUCUAAACUCCACAACUCAUUCGAAAGACUAUGGAGCCUACAUAGUUUCUAAAGACAAACGAUGAAUUUCAAAGGUAAAAUUGUGUUCCUGGGUAGAGAUGAAAACGUGAGUCGGUGCAUGUGUGGCUUCUUGUUAUCUGCUCUGUUGCUGCCAGCUGGCUGCCUACCUGUCUCUGUGUUGGACAAAAGAAUUCUUGGGAUGGGAGAGCACUCCUGCUUUGGAAUGUGAGUAGACAUCACAAAUCACAGUUAAGGAGAGAUGAAUUAGAACUGCAUGCAGCAA